rnacentral:tRNA from 1 species
GGCUGAGUGGUAAAGGCAUUGGGUUUGUAAUCCAAUAGAGUUUCUUGUGUGGGUUCAAAUCCUCAC